GAUGAACGCUAGCUACAGGCUUAACACAUGCAAGUCGCGGGACCGGCGCACGGGUGAGUAACGCGUAACCAACCUGCCCUUCACCACGGGAUAACCCGGCGCAAGCCGGACUAAUACCAUAUGGUGUUGGAUGGGGAUGCGUCCGAUUAGCUUGAGGGCGGGGUAACGGCCCACCGUGGCUACGAUCGGUAGGGGUUCUGAGAGGAAGGUCCCCCACACUGGAACUGAGACACGGUCCAGACUCCUACGGGAGGCAGCAGUGAGGAAUAUUGGUCAAUGGGCGUAAGCCUGAACCAGCCACGUAGCGUGCAGGACGACGGCCUAUGGGUUGUAAACUGCUUUUAUGCGGGGAUAGGUACCGCAUGAAUAAGGACCGGCUAAUUCCGUGCCAGCAGCCGCGGUAAUUC
rnacentral:rRNA from 1 species